rnacentral:rRNA from 1 species
AACACUAAAAAAAAAAAGUUUAACUUACCAGUUCUCGUUUGAUUAUUGAAGUCAAGCAGCGUUGGGCAUGGUUAGUGCUUGGAUGGGUGACUGCUUGGGAAUAGGGUGUGAUGUUGUCC